GUGUGUGUGUGUGUGUGUGUGUGUGUGUGUGUGUGUGUGUGUGUGUGUGUGUGUGUGUGUGUGUGUGCUUGAAUAUGUCUGUGCGUAUGUCUUUAUAUGUGUGCAGAGCCAGGCAUUCAAUUUUGAGCAUGUGCAUAUAGGCUACAGUGUGUGUGUGUGUGUGUGUGUGUGUGUGUGUGUGUGUAAACCAUGUGUAGCAUGAAUAAGAGAUCAAAUAAUGUGAUCAAUUGUAUCCUUCAUCACUGAUCGAUCUGCAUUCAAAAUCAAACCAUACGAUGACGUGGAGGUAAUUCAAAAGCUUCUUUCGGCUAAAUGAAUAAAUCAUGAGGAAACGAUACAGAACAAUUAUGUGAGCUCAUCUCUUAUACCUACCAGCCUUGAAUUGUGCGUGCUGUGUGCGUGAGUGUUGUGUGUACGUACACAUUUGUCGGUCAACAUCUAGGCAAUUGUUCGCAAAAGAACACAUUGAAGGAUGUUCCAAGGCGGCCUGCCCCAUUUACUGGAACUGUCCCCAGAACACACACACACACACACACACACACACACACACACACACACACACACACACACACACUUACUCAAAACACACACACACACACUUACUCAAACACGUAGACAAACAAUUUAUUGAACCCCGACCUCUAACUGUUGCAAUGUAAGAGGAAAUAACACAAUUGCAGGCAACUGCCAAACCCCCACUGGUAUGUGGAUUGCAGACCCAUCCAAGGAAGAAUACUCCAAAAGCAAGGACUGUGACUGCAACUUCAUCACCACGAAGCUAAUAACACACACUGUUUGUUUACUGUUAAGGGGUCAUCAUCACACAAGGAGCCUCCAGCUAAGAUGGACGCUAGGUCGGGUGAAUAUAGCCUGCCAACAGAUGAAAGUUCAACGCCCCUUACUCCUCAAACCAUGCUGACAUGUUCAGAUUGAGAAAUGUUGCGUUUAGAUUCCGUUGGUUUAAGAACGUCAAAACAAAGCUGUAAUCUGAUUGGACGCGCUUUGGGAGAUCGGCAUCCAACCAAGUUGUUUGAACCUUGACUGCAGUGGCAUGGCAACGAUAGGAUGGAUAGCAUCAACACUAGGUUGGACCCGAACUACACUGACAUUUAUAUGAUUACAUUAGCAACACCGAUGCUGAAUGACCAUGUGCUGACCACUUCAGAGUGGAGGAGUCUACGAAAACACUUGGGAAAACGAUAUCAAUAUCAACCAAACUCCCAUGACAGAAUGGGGAAUACAGCAUACAUUUAAAUGGCAUCUAUUUUACCAACCUGCGUGAUGAGCCUUGUCGAUCUGCAUUAGUAACGUCACAAGUGGGUCUCCUGAACCUAUCAGCCGUGGAAAAAAGACCAUCUACAACCAUCCGACUAAAAAUGGGCGACAAGGGUGCAGAAGGAAUACCUAAAAAUAACCGACUGUCAUCUGUUGAGAAGAACUUUACGUACUUGUCAUUAACGGCCGUCUAUCUUGGCCUGAAUUGCGGAGGUAGACGCUUGCCGCACACGGUUGCUACAGCAGCACACAGUGUUGAGCGCUGACACCUGCCAGCCAGCGCCUGCUAAUAAGAGGGUGUCUGUCCAGCGUGAGGGGGGAGAGUAACGCACAUCUCUUACGGGGUCCUGUGAAGAGCUCUCUACCGCCCUCCACAGUCGCGGAGUGGUACACCUUUCUAUAUGGUAUGGCCCCUAGAGAACAGGUCAAGAUAUGAAAGCCUUCUAACCUUUACUGUCUCCAAUAGGUUUUGUGUUUUAAAACGGAUGUAAACGUAAACAAAGAAGAGAGUCAACCAUGAAGCAGGAUAGGUUGGAUGCUGGUUGUUGGGUUUCCCGCGAUAGCCCGCGGAUAACAGAUUGAACAUGGUGCUUCGUGUGUGGUCUCUGUGGCAUGUUCCGAAGAAACGGAGUCCGAGAACUAUACGCCUUGAUUUGAAUCUCCUUCCACAUCGGCUCAACAGCUCCCGCUCCUGGCCGUGAGCUCGGGGUUCCUGUGGCUCAUGUCCGGCGGGCUUCACUGUCCUGGCAGACCUCUCCCCCCCCCGGUACACUCUCAGCACUGCCUGCAGCAGCAGCCAUCCAGAACUUCUGUCCAG
ensembl:lncRNA